rnacentral:misc_RNA from 1 species
UACAUGGCAGUGUCGACCCCCUGUACACAAGUGCAUCUCAGUUGCUUAGUUAAAAACGUUAUUAGUAAAACAGGUCUGACCUCUUUGUUAUUAUCAUUCUGGUUCUUAUGUGAUUCAAUUGAAUUUUAAAUCUGAAAGCAUUAUUUUAAGAGAUGGCAAUGUACGUAAAUGCAAGGAUUGCAAGGCUCUGUCAUUGUGUGGAAAGUUUACAGAAUUUGGCUACUCUCAUAAAUAGAAACAAGACGGUUUUCAAUAAAAUAUGCAGGAAAAACUUUAUACAAAGUGAGAGCUUGUUCACCGCACCUGUACUAAAUGGGAUAAUAGGUCUUGAGGAACCAACGGUACCGAAAGCUCAAAAGAAAAUUAUUAGACCACGGCUGAAAAUUACCCUUAUUAUGACCGAUGGUAGUAAGGAUGUAAUGUGGUUGGACGAGGCAGAAAAAGUGGCCAAGCGUCGCGAUGUGAAAUUAAUGAAAUUAUUGGAUUAUGACGAGAAGGAGCAAAGACCAUUGUAUAAGCUUAUGUCAGAAAAAGAGUAUUUUCAAGAAGAUGUUAAGCAAUCGUUGAAGGAAAUUCCUUCGGAGAAAAAAUACUCCCGCCACUCCGUCAAGUUAAUUUCUAUAUCAAGUAAUAUUGCAGAUCACGAUUUGGGUAUAAAGAUCAAAAAUAUAAAUAAAAUGUUAACUAAGAAUCAAGAAGUAAGUGUCUUGAUCAUUUCUCAAGGGAAGGAGGAUGUUACGAACAAGAUAUUGCAAACCAUUAAAUCUGGAGUUAAGGAACACGGCAAGAUCGCAACAGAGAAUAAAAAGGGCAACGCAUGGAAGCUCUUAUUACAACCAAUUCCAACAGCCUCAAGUUCUACAGAUAUAAUCAGCACCGCUUCUGAAAAAGAAACCAGCUAGUGAAGAAAUAUCGAACUUCCUAAUAUUCUGUCUCGAUGAAGUGGCAAUGAAUUUUAUCCUUCAAAGGAUUUACGUGUAACUUUCACUUGUAUAUUUGGUCCAGGAAAUCUAGGAUUGCACAAGCACAAAUGCCCAAUGAGAACCUAAUAUCCUUCAGGUUCGCACACUGUUGACAAUGUCAAAAAGCUUUUGCGGAAUAUGUUGACCAAAAUAAAUGGUCAGCACUUUGCAUGA